GACGAACGCUGGCGGCGUGCCUAACACAUGCAAGUCAACUUGACUGAAGGAGCAAUCUGACAGUAGAGUGGCGCAAGGGUGCGUAACGCGUAAGUAACUUGCCCCAAGGUAAGGAAUAACGUCGAGAAAUCGGCGCUAAUACCUCAUAAUGCAGCGGAUCCACAUGGAUAUGUUGUUAAAGGUUUACCGCCUUGGGAUAGGCUUGCGUCUGAUUAGCUAGUUGGUGUGGUAACGGCACACCAAGGCUACGAUCAGUAACUGGUCUGAGAGGAUGAUCAGUCACACUGGAACUGAGACACGGUCCAGACUCCUACGGGAGGCAGCAGUGAGGAAUAUUGGGCAAUGCUCGAAAGAGUGACCCAGCAACGCCGCGUGGAGGAUGAAGGUAUUCUAUAUCGUAAACUCCUGUGAGAGCAGACGAAAGACAGAUUAUUAAUCUGGAUGACUGUAUGCUCAGAGGAAGCCCCGGCUAACU
rnacentral:rRNA from 1 species